rnacentral:lncRNA from 1 species
GCUUGCUGCUCAGAAAAGAAAUAAACAAAUUGUACUCCAUGCAUCCUAUACAUAGAUGUAUUAGACAGCAUAUGGAAUCGAGAGUUGACCACUUACUUGAGAUUUUUUUAAGAAAAAAAUAAAGUCAUAAAAAACUAAAUCUUAAAUCAUUAACCAGGAGAUAAAAAUUGUCUAUAAAGCAACCAAUCUUUCUCAAAAAGAAUCACAAUAAUGUAUUCCUUAGUAAAGUCAAUAACAAAAUCAAUAAUCCCCCACCUGAUAAGAAAAAUCAAUAAUCCCCCUAAGAACGCAACCUUCCAAAUUUCCAACGCAAAAGAGUCACAAUAUAGAAAAUCUUUACUCGGUUAGGGUGGAUAAAUAAAUGUACCCAGCACAUCCCUCUCUAAGCCAUUAGUAACUAC